rnacentral:rRNA from 1 species
UACGUAGGGUGCGAGCGUUAAUCGGAAUUACUGGGCGUAAAGCGUGCGCAGGCGGUUCGUUAAGUUCGAUGUGAAAGCCCCGGGCUCAACCUGGGAACUGCAUUCAAAACUGACAAGCUAGAGUAUGGUAGAGGGUGGUGGAAUUUCCUGUGUAGCGGUGAAAUGCGUAGAUAUAGGAAGGAACACCAGUGGCGAAGGCGACCACCUGGACUGAUACUGACACUGAGGUGCGAAAGCGUGGGGAGCAAACAGG